rnacentral:lncRNA from 1 species
UGGAACUCAGACAUGGACCAGGAGACCAAGACCGUAGGAUUCUGCUCAAAACAUGGUAGACUCAGUUUUGAUCAGGUACCUCCCAGUGUUAACAUUCACAAAAGAAGGAACUGCGAAAGGAAGUGAUGUCAUUGCAAUUUGCAUGGAGGAAGCUUCUGGAAAAAGGAGAAGCUAUGCGCUUCAAUUAUAAGCAAUGGACUUGCAGGGGGACAGGGGACAAGUCACGUGACCUUCAGAAAGCAACUGAUGUAUUCGGUAUAAGGUCAGCGCCAGCAGGUGAGUCGAGGUUUGAUAAGGUCUGUGAAUGGAUGCCCAAGGGAUAAAUAUUAGAAGCUUAGGGCUGGAAACCUCAUGGAACUAACCGAGAUGAGUGGGUACUUGUUGGAUAGAGUAGGCAGUUAAGUUUGGUGUACACACUCAGCAUAAAACCCAUGACAUUCCUGAAUGAGUCCAUCAAUCAGGGCCUUUAAGUUGGUACAGUUUCCUACGGACUACAGAGGCAGGAAAAAAUGUUUCAGAAGCAGGGACGACAUUCCCUCCACUCCCUGUGCAGAAUCAGGGAAGCUGCCUUUAAAAAAGCCUCGAUGGUUUUGUGACGGAGACAAAUUCAUCUACGUGAGGACAGUGUGUGUGAUGGGCUGCCUAUUAACGGGGAGACUAGAACAUCUUUUUUUUUCAACCCUUCAAAGUGCUGUCUAUGAGAAUGCUCUGGGGGUGUCUGCCUACGCCCUUCUUACAAAUAGUGCCAUGGCUUUGCUGUUGAUUAUGAAGCUAAUUCUAGGAGGCUGGAGCGAAGGCUCAGUGGUUAAGAAUACUGGCUGUAUUCUAGGUUCAAUACUGAAAUCCUACGUUCAAUUCCAAGCGUGUGCAAGGCAUCUUACAACUCGCUGCAACUCCAGUCCCA